rnacentral:rRNA from 1 species
AUACGGAGGGUGCAAGCGUUGUUCGGAAUUAUUGGGCGUAAAGAGCAUGUAGGCGGACUAUUAAGUCUGGUGUGAAAGCCCGGGGCUCAACCCCGGAAGUGCAUUGGAUACUGGUAGUCUUGAGUAUGGGAGAGGAAAGUGGAAUUCCGAGUGUAGGAGUGAAAUCCGUAGAUAUUCGGAGGAACACCAGUGGCGAAGGCGGCUUUCUGGACCAAUACUGACGCUGGGAUGCGAAAGCGUGGGGAGCGAACAGGAUUAGAUACCCUUGUAGUCC